CUUGCAAAGGCCUGACUGCCCAGAUUUUUUUUUGAAGGUUAAAACACUACUGACAAAAAACCUAAAUGAAAGGAGUUAGGGUUGCCAUAGUUGAGAAAAAUAAUUACCACUUAUUGUGCGUUUAAGUGCUGGGAAGUGGCUAAUGAUAAUUCAGUUUUCUAAUACAUCAUUACCACCAUCAUUAUUGGAUCAUCAUCAUUGCAUAUUAAUUGCCAUGAACUUCACAUGGGCCAAGUUCUAAUUCACAGUGUGGAGUGUGAGGGGUGAAGGAGCAAUGGGAGAUCAAAGAAGAAUGCUGGAAGAGGCAGCAGAGCAACCCAAC
rnacentral:lncRNA from 1 species